GGGUUGUGAGGUUAAGCGACCAAGCGUACACGGUGGAUGCCCUGGCAGUCAGAGGCGAUGAAGGACGUGCUAAUCUGCGAAAAGCGCCGGCAAGGUGAUAUGAACCGCUACAGCCGGCGAUGUCCGAAUGGGGAAACCCGGUGCACUCAGUGCAUCAUCGCAGCAUGAAUACAUAGUGCUGCGAGGCGAACCGGGGGAACUGAAACAUCUAAGUACCCCGAGGAAAAGAAAUCAACCGAGAUUCCCCCAGUAGCGGCGAGCGAACGGGGAGCAGCCCAGAGCCUGAAUCAGCUUGUGCGUUAGUGGAAGCGUCUGGAAAGGCGCGCGAUACCGGGUGACAGCCCCGUACACGAAAACGCACUUGCUGUGAGCUCGAAGAGUAGGGCGGGACACGUGGUAUCCUGUCUGAAUAUGGGGGGACCAUCCUCCAAGGCUAAAUACUCCUGACUGACCGAUAGUGAACCAGUACCGUGAGGGAAAGGCGAAAAGAACCCCGGCGAGGGGAGUGAAACAGAACCUGAAACCGUGUACGUACAAGCAGUGGGAGCCUUCUUUAUGGGGGUGACUGCGUACCUUUUGUAUAAUGGGUCAGCGACUUAUAUUCUGUAGCAAGGUUAACCGCAUAGGGGAGCCGUAGGGAAACCGAGUCUUAAUUGGGCGCUAAGUUGCAGGGUAUAGACCCGAAACCCGGUGAUCUAGCCAUGGGCAGGUUGAAGGUUGGGUAACACUAACUGGAGGACCGAACCGACUAAUGUUGAAAAAUUAGCGGAUGACCUGUGGCUGGGGGUGAAAGGCCAAUCAAACCGGGAGAUAGCUGGUUCUCCCCGAAAGCUAUUUAGGUAGCGCCUCGUGAACUCAUCUCCGGGGGUAGAGCACUGUUUCGGCUAGGGGGCCAUCCCGGCUUACCAACCCGAUGCAAACUGCGAAUACCGGAGAAUGUUAUCACGGGAGACACACGGCGGGUGCUAACGUCCGUCGUGAAGAGGGAAACAACCCAGACCGCCAGCUAAGGUCCCAAAGUCAUGGUUAAGUGGGAAACGAUGUGGGAAGGCACAGACAGCCAGGAUGUUGGCUUAGAAGCAGCCAUCAUU
rnacentral:rRNA from 1 species